GACAGAGGUGCCGAGCGUUAGGCGGAAUCACUGGGCUUAAAGCGUGUGUAGGCGGAUCGUUAAGUGCCUUGUGGAAUCCCACGGCUCAACCGUGGAACUGCUCGGCAUACUGGCGACCUUGAGCCACUUAGGGGCUACCGGAACAAAUGGUGGAGCGGUGAAAUGCGUAGAUAUCAUUUGGAACGCCAAUGGUGAAAACAGGUAGCUGGGGCUGUGCUGACGCUGAGACACGAAAGCCAGGGGAGCAAACGGG
rnacentral:rRNA from 1 species